GGAAUUGCUAGUAAUGGCAGGUCAGCAUACUGCCGUGAAUACGUUCCCGGGCCCUUGUACACACCGCCCGUCACACCAUGAGAGUUGGGAAUACCCGAAGCCUGUGAGCUAACUUAGGAGGCAGCAGUCGAAGGUAGAAUCAAUGAUUGGGGUGAAGUCGUAACAAGGUAGC
rnacentral:rRNA from 1 species